UGGGGAAUAUUGCACAAUGGGCGCAAGCCUGAUGCAGCCAUGCCGCGUGUGUGAAGAAGGCCUUCGGGUUGUAAAGCACUUUCAGCGAGGAGGAAGGUGGUGAGCUUAAUACGCUCAUCAAUUGACGUUACUCGCAGAAGAAGCACCGGCUAACUCCGUGCCAGCAGCCGCGGUAAUACGGAGGGUGCAAGCGUUAAUCGGAAUUACUGGGCGUAAAGCGCACGCAGGCGGUUUGUUAAGUCAGAUGUGAAAUCCCCGGGCUCAACCUGGGAACUGCAUUUGAAACUGGCAAGCUAGAGUCUCGUAGAGGGGGGUAGAAUUCCAGGUGUAGCGGUGAAAUGCGUAGAGAUCUGGAGGAAUACCGGUGGCGAAGGCGGCCCCCUGGACGAAGACUGACGCUCAGGUGCGAAAGCGUGGGGCAGCAAACAGGAUUAGAUACCCUGGUAGUCCACGCUGUAAACGAUGUCGAUUUUGGAGGUUGUGCCCUUGAGGCGUGGCUUCCGGAGCUAACGCGUUAAAUCGACCGCCUGGGGAGUACGGUCGCAAGGUUAAAACUCAAAUGAAUUGACGGGGUCAUAGCUGUUUCCU
rnacentral:rRNA from 1 species